GAUGAACGCUGGCGGCGUGCCUAAUACAUGCAAGUCGAGCGAACAGACGAGAAGCUUGCUCCUCUGACGUUAGCGGCGGACGGGUGAGUAACACGUGGAUAACCUACCUAUAAGACUGGGAUAACUUCGGGAAACCGGAGCUAAUACCGGAUAAUAUAUUGAACCGCAUGGUUCAAUAGUGAAAGACGGUUUUGCUGUCACUUAUAGAUGGAUCCGCGCCGCAUUAGCUAGUUGGUAAGGUAACGGCUUACCAAGGCAACGAUGCGUAGCCGACCUGAGAGGGUGAUCGGCCACACUGGAACUGAGACACGGUCCAGACUCCUACGGGAGGCAGCAGUAGGGAAUCUUCCGCAAUGGGCGAAAGCCUGACGGAGCAACGCCGCGUGAGUGAUGAAGGUCUUCGGAUCGUAAAACUCUGUUAUUAGGGAGGAACAAAUGUGUAAGUAACUAUGCACGUCUUGACGGUACCUAAUCAGAAAGCCACGGCUAACUACGUG
rnacentral:rRNA from 1 species